rnacentral:rRNA from 1 species
GACGAACGCUGGCGGCGUGCCUAAUACAUGCAAGUAGAACGCUGAAGGAGGAGCUUGCUUCUCUGGAUGAGUUGCGAACGGGUGAGUAACGCGUAGGUAACCUGCCUGGUAGCGGGGGAUAACUAUUGGAAACGAUAGCUAAUACCGCAUAAUAGCAGUUGUUGCAUGACAACUGUUUGAAAGGUGCAAUUGCACCACUACCAGAUGGACCUGCGUUGUAUUAGCUAGUUGGUGGGGUAACGGCUCACCAAGGCGACGAUACAUAGCCGACCUGAGAGGGUGAUCGGCCACACUAGGACUGAGACACGGCCCAGACUCCUACGGGAGGCAGCAGUAGGGAAUCUUCGGCAAUGGACGGAAGUCUGACCGAGCAACGCCGCGUGAGUGAAGAAGGUUUUCGGAUCGUAAAGCUCUGUUGUAAGAGAAGAACGAGUGUGAGAGUGGAAAGUUCACACUGUGACGGUAUCUUACCAGAAAGGGACGGCUAACUACGUG